rnacentral:misc_RNA from 1 species
UACGGAGGGGGCGAGCGUUGUCCGGAAUUAUUGGGCGUAAAGCGCGCGCAGGCGGUCCUUUAAGUCUGAUGUGAAAUCUUGCGGCUUAACCGCAAGCGGUCAUUGGAAACUGGGGGACUUGAGUACAGAAGAGGAGAGCGGAAUUCCACGUGUAGCGGUGAAAUGCGUAGAUUUGUGGAGGAACACCAGUGGCGAAGGCGGCUCUCGGGCCUGUAACUUAAGCUGAGGCGCGAAAGCGUGGGUAGCAAACAGG